UGGGGAAUAUUGGACAAUGGGCGCAAGCCUGAUCCAGCCAUGCCGCGUGAGUGAUGAAGGCUCUAGGGUUGUAAAGCUCUUUCACCGGUGAAGAUAAUGACGGUAACCGGAGAAGAAGCCCCGGCUAACUCCGUGCCAGCAGCCGCGGUAAUACGAAGGGGGCUAGCGUUGUUCGGAUUUACUGGGCGUAAAGUGCACGUAGGCGGACUUUUAAGUCAGGGGUGAAACCCCGGGGCUCAACCCCGGAACUGGCUUUGAUACUGGAAGUCUUGAGUAUGGUAGAGGUGAGUGGAAUUCCGAGUGUAGGGGUGAAAUUCGUAGAUAUUCGGAGGAACAACAGUGGCGAAGGCGGCUCACUGGACCAUUACUGACGCUGAGGUGCGAAAGCGGGGGGAGCAAACAGG
rnacentral:rRNA from 1 species